AAGUAAGAAGCAAAUAAAUUGUAAUCAGUUUCGACCUGAUAAAAAGAUAGAUAUUAUCCUUAUUUA
rnacentral:tRNA from 1 species